rnacentral:rRNA from 1 species
AACGAACGCUGGCGGCAUGCCUAACACAUGCAAGUCGAACGAAGGCUUCGGCCUUAGUGGCGCACGGGUGCGUAACGCGUGGGAAUCUGCCCUUAGGUUCGGAAUAACAGUUAGAAAUGACUGCUAAUACCGGAUGAUGACGUAAGUCCAAAGAUUUAUCGCCUGAGGAUGAGCCCGCGUAGGAUUAGCUAGUUGGUGUGGUAAAGGCGCACCAAGGCGACGAUCCUUAGCUGGUCUGAGAGGAUGAUCAGCCACACUGGGACUGAGACACGGCCCAGACUCCUACGGUAGGCAGCAGUGGGGAAUAUUGGACAAUGGGCGCAAGCCUGAUCCAGCAAUGCCGCGUGAGUGAUGAAGGCCUUAGGGUUGUAAAGCUCUUUCACCCGUGAUGAUAAUGACAGUAGCGGGAGAAUAAGCCCCGGCUAACUCCGUG